AAUCAACGCUGGCGGCGUGCCUAACACAUGCAAGUCGAGCGAGAAAGGGUAGCAAUAUCCGAGUAAAGCGGCGCACGGGUGAGUAACACGUGGGUAAUCUGCCUCGAAGUGGGGAAUAACACCGGGAAACCGGUGCUAAUACCGCAUAAUCUGGCGAAGUCUGCGGAUUUUGUCAGCAAAGGAGCAAUUCGCUUUGAGAGGAGCCCGCGGCUGAUUAGCUAGUUGGUGGGGUAAUGGCUCACCAAGGCGACGAUCAGUAGCCGGUCUGAGAGGACGGUCGGCCACACUGGAACUGAGACACGGUCCAGACUCCUACGGGAGGCAGCAGUGGGGAAUUUUUGGCAAUGGGGGCAACCCUGACCAAGCAACGCCGCGUGGGUGAUGAAGUCUCUUGGGACGUAAAACCCUUUCGACAGGGACGAAACCGCAAGGUUGACGGUACCUGUAGAAGAAGCCCCGGCUAACUCCGUGCCAGCAGCCGCAGUAAAAC
rnacentral:rRNA from 1 species